CUGCUGGGUGGUGAGGCCUACGUCUCUUGCUCUGUAGUGCUGCCUGCUUUUCGCCAUCUGUACCGUGUCAUGGACAUUACUGAUGAUGAUCCUGCCUACGUGGUGAAGUUCAAGAAUGCCUUCCAGAAGGAUCUGGCAGCACGACGAGCUAAUGGCAACGAGAUAUGGUUCGAGGUGGCCACAGCAUUGGAUCCACGGUUUAAGGAUUUGAAAUGUCUUCCAAGAGAAAAGAGGGAACAGGUGUGGACCAUUCUGGAGAAUAUGCUCCAGGCAGCAGAGCCCAGAAGAGCAGAUAGUCUCCAGCCCUCCACAGAGGAUGAUGGACCAGCUCAGAAGAAGAGGAGGAGCGAACUCCUUCUGGGGUCUGACUCUGACUCAGAAGAUGGAAUUGAGUCUGGAGAGCUGCAGCGCUACAGAGCAGAACCCAGCAUCAGUAUUGAUGACUGUCCCCUGCAGUGGUGCACUACUAAUUAGGCCCCUCUGACCACUGGUGAUGGCCAGAGGGGCCGAUGGCGCGAUAUGGCAGCCUCACCUCUGUCAGUCUGCCCCAGACUUCACACGUGAACCCUCUCAGCUUCAACCCUUCUGUUUCUUUGACUGACUUCUUCAGAUUUCUGCAUCUGGUCUUCAUGCAGUUUUCUUCCACAUGCGCUUUGAAUAAAUUAUGUGACAAGCUGAGUAGCGCCACAUGGAAUUAGCUUCAAUGCACGCGAUUGGUCUGUGUGCUUCCUGUGUACAUAGACUAAAAAUAAGGCGGUGCAGAUUAAAAUAACUAUACCGUAAAUAUGACAAAAGUUGUGCAGAGUAAAAUAGAAACUCUCCAUUCAAAUCUAGUAACAGGUCAGGUCCUCUAAGAAUGGGACUGGGACUAUAUUCCAACUGCGGUUCACCUAUUGGUGACCCAGGUUUUUUUUUUUUAGAUUUGACUAUAACAUGACUCCAGUAAUUCAAAUGUAUUUGACUGAUUUAGGCUACGUUCACACUGCAGGCGAAAGCGCAUUAAAUCCGAUUUUUCUGACCCUAUGCGACCAUCUAUCCGAUCAUGCUAUGACAGUGUGAACGGCACAAAUCCGAUAUUUUCAAAUCCGACCUGCAUGGGUCACUUUCGUAUGUGGUGCUGAAUCCGAUACAUAUCUGAUGUUUCAGAAAGCGACUGCUGUUUGAUGGUUAUGUCGCAUUAAAUCCGUCUUUUACGUCACUGACACAAGACAGACGCCAAUUAUCAGCGCCGGAGAAGACAUCGUGAACGCCUCCUGGCCAUCCAGUGUAGAUGUUAGUGAAACUGUUGGGAAGACAACGUAAACAUUUUGUUUGUUCUGUAUAAUCUGCAGAUUGUGACAGAAAUCUGCAGCUAUUCUUCGAAGCAGCGCUCCUCUCUUAAACAGUAAUAAGGAUCAUUAUUAGGUUAUUUACAUUAUUAUGUAAAUAACAAAAUAACUUAAAGCAAAAAUUGGGAAACGUGAAGUCCGAAGUCUUUAUAUUAACGGCCAUCAGUCAAACAAUACUGUUGCUCUGGGACUAAACAGUGUGUGACGUCUUCUUUUGUGCAUGCGGCCGCUUUGAGCGUUCACACUAGAGCGCGUUUGCUGUCGCAUUUUAUUUGUAGUGUGAACGAGCAGACAAAAACAUCGGAUUUGAUCAAAAAAUCGGAAUUGAGCAUCAAGACCUGCAGAGUGAACGUAGCCUUGGAUUCUCAUAAAAGGAGGGAUGAACAGCUGAAGCAGUGGCGGUCCUAGCCUGUUUGGUGCCCUGGGCGAACACUCCCUCUACCCCCCCCCCCCCCCACACACACACACACAAACAAAACAUAUUAAGGAUUAUACAUUAACAUAAAACUGUUGUACACACACACAUAUGAAAAGAGAGAGACUAUGCAUAGUAUGCAAACGGAUUCUUCAUACAAUGAGAACAGGAUGAAUCAACAAUUGACAAUGACUAAUUAAUAUUAAAAUCUGUAACAUAAUGUAUUGUUUGAAGUUUAGUCUGUUACUGUUGCUAUUUUUACCAUUUCUUCUUGGAGCAACUGUAACCCACAUAUUUUCCUCAGGGAUUAAUAAAGUAUUCUGACUCUGAUUGGUUCAGGAUGACCUGCCAUUAUCCAAUCACACAUCUGCUUACCUGAUUCUUUCGCUCGUUUCUCCUCCUGAUGGCUUUGAACUGUUUUUGUCCAUCUUGGUUUUCAUUUUGCCCUCCAGUAUGAACACAAGUCCCGCAACCCGAGGAUCACCACAACAUAACCUAACACACAGUUCACAGAUUCACUUUGUCUAAGGUUUAUUUCUGGGAUUUCACACAACCCAGGAUUCAAAUCAUGAAUACAUGAUGGGCUUGGAUUUACAACAUUAUGAAUGAAAUGUGCUCUAUUUGGAAGCAGCUGGCCCCGCCCCUUUCGACAGGUUGUGUGUGAGACUUUAAAUCAUCAAACUGUAAAUUUUAAAUUGUUAUUGAUCCUUUACCCCGAGUCCUAAAGUGUAGAUUUAUUUUCUUACUCUUCUGAUAUUUAUUGUUUGUUUACUUGCACUGCUGUAACUGGAGCCUCGUCGUCUCGUCUCUCUAUAUGCUGGACUGUCUGUAGCGGAGAUGACAAUAAAGUUUACUUUGACUUCAGCAGCGCGCAGGCGCACCGAGGGCUCUGUAUCAUGAUGUCUGGUGUUUUCGUGUUUGUUGGUUUGUUUUUAUGUUGUUUUAUUUUGUGAGUUGGUUAUUAGACGCUGCUCCAGCCAGCCAGAGAAGCCCCCGCCGCCCCGCCCUCUCCUCUCUGCGCCGCAAGCAGCAGGCGCAGCUCGCAAACGGAGGGCGCCCUUACUCCCAGCAAAUGGGCGACAGAAAACCGAUCGGUGCCUGUGACAUUCCCGAUAUGCGCGGGCUGAUGUCGGGGCAGCAGGAGUACAAGCAUUUUUUUUUUUUUUAGCCGAUGCCCGUGAUGCCGCCCCCCGACACGAUGCCGCCCCGGGCAACCGCCCGUGUCGCAGAAGAUUUGUGUAGAAACAGGAAGCGUGAUCAUCUGUACUCACCCGUGUUUGACAGAAGCUCUGCUGUGUGAAAAUGAAUGUGAUGAACUGAGUUUGAUGUUCCUGUGAAGAGAUUCAGAUUUGUCUGAGCUCAAACCUGUUUAGAGACAAACAGGACUUGACUGUAGCUUUUUCACAGAGCUUCUUUCCUUCUCAUUUAUAAUUUUAUGGUUUAUACUUAUUAACAAGGAGCAAAAGUGGGACACGCCCUGGCAAAGCA
ensembl:lncRNA